AGACCCGAAACCCGGUGAUCUAGCCAUGGGCAGGUUGAAGGUUGGGUAACACUAACUGGAGGACCGAACCGACUAAUGUUGAAAAAUUAGCGGAUGACCUGUGGCUGGGGGUGAAAGGCCAAUCAAACCGGGAGAUAGCUGGUUCUCCCCGAAAGCUAUUUAGGUAGCGCCUCGUGAAUUCAUCUCCGGGGGUAGAGCACUGUUUCGGCUAGGGGGCCAUCCCGGCUUACCAACCCGAUGCAAACUGCGAAUACCGGAGAAUGUUAUCACGGGAGACACACGGCGGGUGCUAACGUCCGUCGUGAAGAGGGAAACAACCCAGACCGCCAGCUAAGGUCCCAAAGUCAUGGUUAAGUGGGAAACGAUGUGGGAAGGCCCAGACAGCCAGGAUGUUGGCUUAGAAGCAGCCAUCAUUUAAAGAAAGCGUAAUAGCUCACUGGUCGAGUCGGCCUGCGCGGAAGAUGUAACGGGGCUAAACCAUGCACCGAAGCUGCGGCAGCGAACGUAUCACUUAAAGCGAUUCAGCGGGUUACGAUUGACGGAGCGAAGCGACGUCAAAGCGUAUACAAAGUCGAGUCGGUUUAAGGAUACGUUCGUUGGGUAGGGGAGCGUUCUGUAAGCCUGUGAAGGUGUGUCGUGAGGCAUGCUGGAGGUAUCAGAAGUGCGAAUGCUGACAUAAGUAACGAUAAAGCGGGUGAAAAGCCCGCUCGCCGGAAGACCAAGGGUUCCUGUCCAACGUUAAUCGGGGCAGGGUGAGUCGACCCCUAAGGCGAGGCCGAAAGGCGUAGUCGAUGGGAAACGGGUUAAUAUUCCCGUACUUGGUGUUACUGCGAAGGGGGGACGGAGAAGGCUAUGUUGGCCGGGCGACGGUUGUCCCGGUUUAAGCGUGUAGGCUGGUUUUCCAGGCAAAUCCGGAAAAUCAAGGCUGAGGCGUGAUGACGAGGCACUA
rnacentral:rRNA from 1 species